GCUCUUGUGGCGUAAUUGGUAGGCGCGGAAGGUUGAGAGCCUUCUAGUGGAAACACUGUCCCAGUUCAAAUCUGAACUGAGCACCA
rnacentral:tRNA from 1 species